AGCGAACGCUGGCGGCAGGCCUAACACAUGCAAGUCGAACGAACUCUUCGGAGUUAGUGGCGGACGGGUGAGUAACACGUGGGAACGUGCCUUUUGGUUCGGAAUAACUCAGGGAAACUUGUGCUAAUACCGAAUGUGCCCUUCGGGGGAAAGAUUUAUCGCCAUUAGAUCGGCCCGCGUCUGAUUAGCUAGUUGGUGAGGUAACGGCUCACCAAGGCGACGAUCAGUAGCUGGUCUGAGAGGAUGACCAGCCACACUGGGACUGAGACACGGCCCAGACUCCUACGGGAGGCAGCAGUAGGGAAUCUUGCGCAAUGGGCGAAAGCCUGACGCAGCCAUGCCGCGUGAAUGAUGAAGGUCUUAGGAUUGUAAAAUUCUUUCACCGGGGACGAUAAUGACGGUACCCGGAGAAGAAGCCCCGGCUAACUUCGUG
rnacentral:rRNA from 1 species